ACGAACGCUGGCGGCACGCUUAACACAUGCAAGUCGAACGAGAGAAGAGAAGCUUGCUUUUCUGAUCUAGUGGCGGACGGGUGAGUAACACGUGAGCAAUCUGCCUUUCAGAGGGGGAUACCGAUUGGAAACGAUCGUUAAUACCGCAUAACAUAAUUGAACCGCAUGAUUUGAUUAUCAAAGAUUUAUCGCUGAAAGAUGAGCUCGCGUCUGAUUAGCUAGUUGGUAAGGUAACGGCUUACCAAGGCGACGAUCAGUAGCCGGACUGAGAGGUUGAUCGGCCACAUUGGGACUGAGACACGGCCCAGACUCCUACGGGAGGCAGCAGUGGGGAAUAUUGCACAAUGGAGGAAACUCUGAUGCAGCGAUGCCGCGUGAGGGAAGAAGGUUUUAGGAUUGUAAACCUCUGUCUUCAGGGACGAAAAAUGACGGUACCUGAGGAGGAAGCUGCGACUAACUGCGUGCCAGCAGCUGCGGUAAUACGUAGGGAGCGAGCGUUGUCCGGAAUUACUGGGUGUAAAGGGAGCGUAGGCGGGAUCGCAAGUCAGAUGUGAAAACUAUGGGCUUAACCCAUAAACUGCAUUUGAAACUGUGGUUCUUGAGUGAAGUAGAGGUAAGCGGAAUUCCUAGUGUAGCGGUGAAAUGCGUAGAUAUUAGGAGGAACAUCAGUGGCGAAGGCGGCUUACUGGACGGUAACUGACGUUGAGGCUCGAAAGCGUGGGGAGCAAACAGGAUUAGAUACCCUGGUAGUCCACGCCGUAAACGAUGAUUACUAGGUGUGGGGGGACUGACCCCUUCCGUGCCGCAGCAAACGCAAUAAGUAAUCCACCUGGGGAGUACGACCGCAAGGUUGAAACUCAAAGGAAUUGACGGGGGCCCGCACAAGCAGUGGAGUAUGUGGAUUAAUUCGAAGCAACGCGAAGAACCUUACCAGGUCUUGACAUCGUAUGCAUAGCUCAGAGAUGAGUGAAAUCUCUUCGGAGACAUAUAGACAGGUGGUGCAUGGUUGUCGUCAGCUCGUGUCGUGAGAUGUUGGGUUAAGUCCCGCGACGAGCGCAACCCUUACUGUUAGUUGCUACGCAAGAGCACUCUAGCAGGACUGCCGUUGACAAAACGGAGGAAGGUGGGGAUGACGUCAAAUCAUCAUGCCCCUUAUGACCUGGGCCUCACACGUACUACAAUGGCUGUCAACAGAGGGAAGCAAAGCCGCGAGGUGGAGCAAACCCCUAAAAGCAGUCUUAGUUCGGAUUGUAGGCUGCAACCCGCCUACAUGAAGUCGGAAUUGCUAGUAAUCGCAGAUCAGCAUGCUGCGGUGAAUACGUUCCCGGGCCUUGUACACACCGCCCGUCACGCCAUGGGAGUCGGUAACACCCGAAGCCUGUAGUCUAACCGCAAGGAGGACGCAGUCGAAGGUGGGAUUGAUGACUGGGGUG
rnacentral:rRNA from 1 species